GCAGGCAGCUAGCUCUCUGCAACUCUCACAUGGUCACAAUCUGAAGCUAAGCAGGGCUGCGGUCAGUACCUGAAUGGGAGACCACAUGGGAAAGCUAGGUUGCUGCCAGAA
rnacentral:rRNA from 1 species